GAUGUUUCAAGGUGUGCAAUCACUGACUCUGGUGUUGCUGCCUUGUCUCAUGCAGAGCAACUCAAUUUGCAAGUCCUUUCUUUUUCAGGUUGCUCCGGAGUGUCAAACAAAAGCAUGCCUUUCCUGAAAAAGUUGGGCAAGACCCUGGUGGGUUUGAAUCUCCAGCACUGCAAUUCAAUCAGCAGUCGAACUGUUGAGCUACUUGUGGAGAGCUUUUGGAGAUGUGACAUCCUUUUCUAAUCAAGGAUAGAAGGCUGUUGAGCCAGAUCUGAACAACUUCAAUUAGAAAUAUCAAACUAGUAUAGUCAGCUCACACGGGUAGCAACAUUCAGCAAUGUUUUUUGGUCCAACAAAAGGGUCAUGUUGGUUGCUCUAUGGCUUGGUGUUUUCCUGGGGACUUUGGCUGUUUGGCAGAUGGCCUGUCCAGCCCUGUUAUUUUUUUUCUUUUUGCAGGCUUUCUUGACACGGGAAAGUCUGUUGAAACUAUCAAGCCCCCAUUUGCAGGAGGCAGUUUCAUAGCCAUGGUUCCUGGAGAAUUCUGUCAUUAAGUCAUGGUUUUAAGUUUCCACUCAUGAUCAUCAUAUCUUUUGGUCCUAUUUUGCUGGAUGUCUCCCUACUCGGUGUUUUAGCUUUGUCAUACAUAUCUUUAUUGUAAUGCUUGACUAAGCUUUCUUUGUUUUCAGUCCUAUGAAGUCUGUUGUUUGGAUCAGUGCAUCUUGGUUAUAAGCUUCCUUUUUUAGGGUCUUCCAGUGUUUGAAACUCCUGCAGGGUCCUGUGUUCCUUUUAUCAGUGUCUUUACAGUGGUUGUUUGGAGAAGUUCUAUGUUUGGGUGCCGCAGAUUGGUGAGCUUUGGCUAUGGCAGUGGAUUCACUCGUCUGCCAUAGCAACCUUCAUUUUGGUUGGUUUUUUUUUCCUAAAUAAGUCUAAAGUCUUUGUAGUCUUUUCCUUGUAUAUGGUUUGUACAACUUCAACUACACUGUUAUUAUCAAUGAAGCUUUUAUAUUUUACCUUUUUUAAUAUUUAUUUGUAUCCUACUUCUGCAAGGAUUGUAGAACAGUGCUGCAACCGGGGAAAAAAUUUAGAGCUUUGAACGUGCCAAUGAAGAUCUGAGUCUUUUUUUUUUUUGAAAAGCUAAUGUGACAAUCUAGUAACACUGACUACUUAGAAAUUUUUAAUAUCUCCAUUUCCCAGCAGCCGGUCCAAAGAAACAGAAGAAAGAAAUAUAACCCAAGAUUUUCAAUAAAACGUUUGUUGACUCUAUUGUUUAAUGGUAGAGAGUUUUUGACUCUUUGUAGGCUGAAGAUUAAUUGAGCUUGAAGCAACUGAGUCACAGUGGUGUGAAGAAAAUGUGUCAAUGAAAAGGAGAAGAGAAAAAAAAUAGAGAAAAGUAUUGUUGGAUCAUGAUGGGGUGGAGAAUAUGUAGAGUUCUACUCUUCUGACUCUUCCCAUGAUUUCCAAGAACGUGUUUGGACAAGAUUUUGAAGAAAAACGAUUUUUUUUUUCUUUUUGAUUUCUUCCUUCAUUGAAGCCACGGGAAAUGAAAAAAGAAAGACGUAAAAGUAAGAGAAAUGGAAAAUUAUAAGAAACUGAAAUAACUGUAUCAAAACCUUUUUUCCCGAGACUUGUAAAUAGUACGAGGAUGUCGAGCUGAUCCAUCUCUCAUCAUGAAAAUCGGCUCCUUUUACACCUAAAGGGUAGAAAAUUUCAAAUCAAAAGAGUUCCAAAAAUGCACCAAGAAUAAGCAUUCAUGCACAGUCGCACUGUUUUAAAAAAAAAAAAUAGUGAAACAUUUUGGCAGUUGCAUGUCUUAUCAAACCAUUUUUGCGGCGGGUUCAAUUAAUUUGAAUGACUAAGGUAUCAUAUGUAUCAGUAGGACAGAGAAAAGGUUGGAAGAACUUAUCUCCACAUAUAAUAGCUUUCAUCUCCUUCGUAUGAAGAACUUCAACCAGUUUUAUGGUGGGGAGAAGCAACUAAAGCAGCCAUGCAAGGUCUGCAACUGAUGCACCUGUUGACACACUUGGAUUGCCGUGAACCCAGAACCAUUUUCACUUGCUUUGAACUGUCAUUACCUAUAACAGAUAUUGACCCAACUGCCAAAAACAAUCCAGGAAUAAAUGUUACACCGAUUAGCAGCACAAUGGAAUCUUGCAGUACUGUAUUUAUUGGAGGUUAAUUCUUCAGUGUCAUCAGGCUCCUGUCAAUUUGCUCAUUUGUCUUUUCUCGGCCCUGUCAUUUAUAGGUUUAAUCUAAAACCACUCUUCAACAUUCUCACACAAAUGAAUUUAUAUAAAUGUAAAAAUAUUUUCAAAAUUAAAAGGCAAAAUAUGGAGAGUAAAUAUAGUGUUUGUAGCUUUUAAAUCUUACUUGGAGGGUAAAAGAAAAAAAACUACUGCAUAAAAAUUCCUUGAGUUUGAUAGCACUUGAAUUUUCGAGAUCGAAAGCUAUUGAUUUUUUUUUUUUUGGUUGGAAAUUAGUAUAUUUUCAUUAAAGCAAAUGCAAAUUCUCAUAUUUUUAUGGUCUCUUUUGUAAAAUAAAUAAAUAAAUAAUAAAAACAAAGAAAAAAAGUUUAUGCAACCUGACUGACUUUCAAGAUUUUAACAAUCUUUUACAAUAGCCGCCGGCUGCUUGACACACUAUAAAAAGCUUGAAUUUAUAGGGUCAACACCAUAAAACAAAUUGGAUGUCUUUAAGCAAUGAUUGAAGCAGCAUUUAUGGUGACAAAAGUGGUUUUGAAUGGUAGCCGGAGAAGAAACUGGAAAAUGGUAGCCGCUGCUGCUAUAUGGUGAACUGCCCAUGGUAGUAAAUAAACAGUGAAAUCUGAAAUCCAAUGAGUGAAGAAGACAGAGACUCCAUUGGAGGCAUGGGGAUGAAGCUUUAAUCUGAAUUAUUAUUAUUGCAGUUAACAUAUCAUAUCAUUGAAUGACAUAACCAAGGCAUUAACAUGUGAUCCUUUGCUACAAAAAAGACAUAAAAUACAAGGGUAACGGGGCUGCCUCUCCCCAUAGGUUUCUACGAGUGUGGGAGGGUGAAAGGAGGAAGUGGAGAGGAAGAGUCAAAAACUAAUGUAUCAACAUGGAGUAAUAAAUUCUUUUGAUCCUCUUCAGGCAAGGAAUUUAUGAUCUAUUAACCCCGAAACCGAUUCGUACGCAGCAGACACAAUGUUAUAGUAAGACAUCAGGUUGGAGAAUAGCCUAUGUUGAUUUAGAUUUCCGUUGUUGGGUUUUUAUGCUUGAUUUUAUAUCGCACCCAAGAGACCUGAUUUUAAUUUUAGGUUAUGGUUCUGUUGGUUUUAUCUAGUUUAGUUUUGAACAAGAAAAUGAAGACAAAAGAUUUAGGAGUCAUUAGUUAUGUGAAUAUGUAAUGUGAGGAUUGGAUCCUUGAAGAUUUGCAUCAGAAAUAAUUUGUAAAUUUUGUAAAAAGAAUGGAGCUUUAUCUAUUUUUAAGGCCUCCUUUUUUGUGUUUUAUAUUAUUGUGCUUGAAAGGAAGAAAGACGUUGUUGUGAGAAUAUGUCUGAAUUCUUCCAACUUUUUUCGAAAUAUUCUUUGGGUAGUUUUGGCUUAUGGUAGUUAUUGUUUAUUGGAACUUCAGGUGAUGAUGAUUUCUAUUCUAGCGGGUCGUUUUAUACAAAUUCCACAGACUUGGGUAGAUUGCGAUCAGUUUCCAAGUGGAUGUCUACUGCCCUCCUCGUAAAAGGGCUCGUAUUAGUGCCCCAUUUCUCUUUGGGGAAACUGAGUUUGAGCAGAAGAAGCAACCAUCAAUCGAUAUCCUUCCAGAUGAAUGCCUUUUUGAGAUCUUCAAACGACUUCCUGGGGGCAGAGAAAGGAGCUCCUGUGCUUGUGUCUCAAAGCACUGGCUUAUGCUUCUGACCAGUAUUCGUAAGGGUAAAUAUGAGUCAUCAAAGGUGGUCAAGGAGAAUAUUAAUUCGGUUUCUGAUGAUGUUGAGAUGGUCUCAUCUGAUGAAGAUGAUGGGUAUCUUACAAAGUGCUUGGAAGGGAAGAAAGCAACUGACAUGAGGCUUGCUGCAGUUGCUGUUGGAACAAGUGGUCAUGGUGGGCUGGGAAAGCUUUCUAUUAGGGGAAGCAGCUCUUCACGUGGAGUAACCAAUUGGUUGCCCUUCUUUCAAAUCACUUUCUUUGUAGAACUUCCCUCGUGUUGGAGAUGAGGGUCUCCCUGAUUUAGCUAAAGAUUGUCAUUUGUUGGGGAAGCUUGACCUUUGCCAGUGCCCUUACGUUUCAAACAAGGGUUUAAUUGCAAUAGCAGAGAACUGUCCUAAUUUGAUCGCUUUGAGCAUUGAAUCCUGCCCAAAGAUUGGUAAUGAGGGCCUCCAAGCUAUUGGAAAGCUUUGCCCCAAGCUGCAGUCCAUCUCUAUCAAGGACUGCCCACUUGUUGGGGAUCAUGGAGUUUCAAGCCUGUUGUUAUCAGCAUCUUCUGUCCUUUCAAAGGUUAAGCUUCAGGGAUUGAACAUCACAGAUUUUACUCUUGCUGUUAUUGGACACUAUGGCAAGUCAGACAAAUCUAAUGCUUAGUGGUCUACAAAAUGUGAGCGAGAAGGGAUUUUGAGUCAUGGGUCAUUCUCAGGGUUUGCAAAAAUUGGUCUCUUUGAUGAUUACUUCUUGCUUGGGGGUAACAGGUGUGUGUCUUGAAGCCAUAGGAAAGGGAUGCACAAACCUGAAGCAGAUGCGCCUUCGCAGAUGUUGCUUUGUUUCUGAUGAUGGAUUGGUGGCUUUUGCCAAGUCUGCAGGUUCUCUCGAGUGCCUGCAAUUGGAGGAGUGCAAUAGGGUCACACAAUCUGGGAUUAUUGUUGUCCUCUCAAACUGUGGAUUAAAAUCUCUUACCCUAGUAAAGUGCAUGGGAAUUAAGGAUAUAUCCUUGGGAGCUCCUUUGUCGUCUCCUCGCAAUUCCCUUAAAUCCUUGUCUGAUAGGAACUGUCCAGGAUUUGGAACUGGCAGCCUGGCUAUGGUGGGCAAAUUGUGCCCUCAGCUUCAGCAUGUAGAUCUGACUGGGCUUUAUGGCCUCACAGAUGCAGGUCUUCUACCUCUUCUGGAGGGUUUUGAGGCAGGACUUGUGAAGGUGAAUCUGAGCGGCUGCUUAAAUUUGACUGAUGAGGUAAUUUUGGCCUUGACCAGGGUACAUGGCGGAACCCUCGAGUUGCUCAAUCUUGAUGGUUGCAGGAGGAUUACUGAUGCAAGUUUGGUGGCAGUUGCAGACAAUUGUGUUUUCCUCAGCGAUCUGGAUGUUUCAAGGUGUCGCCGACUCUGGCGUUGCUGCCUUGUCUCAUGCAGAGCAGCUCAAUUUGCAAGUCCUUUCUUUUUCAGGUUGUUCCGGAGUGUCAAAAAACAGCAUGCCUUCCCUGAAAAAGUUGGGCAAGACCCUGGUGGGUUUGAAUCUCCAGCACUGCAAUUCAAUCAGCAGUCGAACUGUUGAGAUACUUGUGGAGAGCUUUUGGAGAUGUGACAUCCUUUUCUAAU
rnacentral:lncRNA from 1 species